GGAAUAGAGACAAAGCUACAAUGGGGAGUGAGGCAAAAAGAUGAAUCUUGUACUAACAUUUUGAUAACUUACCAGCAAUUUAAGACACUUAUGGGCAAAGCUUGAAGGAGAGAAGAAAGAGGAGAUAUGACAGAGACAAUCACAUACACAAAGGGAUUCUGCAUAAAGCACCAACGCUGGAAAUGUUAAGAAGAAAUAGUUAAAGGGACAUUUUGUGAAGUAUAAACUGUGGAAAUUUUAAUUGAAACUCAUAAUUACUAUCAGCUGUGUAUCUCCAGCUAAAUUGACUUAAAGGGGCAGAAAAGUAAAAAUGUAACUUGCAUUAAACAUGCAGUUUUAAACAA